AUGAGCUCCACUGUUUACCACUGUUUACCACGGUUUACCACUGUUUACCACUGUUUACCACUGUUUACCACGGUUUACCACUGUUUACCACUGUUUAUCAUGGUUUACCAGUGUUUACCACUGUUUAUCAUGGUUUACCACUGUUUACCACUGUUUAUCAUGGUUUACCAGUGUUUACCACUGUUUACCACUGUUUACCACGGUUUACCACUGUUUAUCACUGUUUACCACUGUUUAUCACUGCUUACCACGGUUUACCAUGGUUUACCACUGUUUAUCAUGGUUUACCACUGUUUACCACGGUUUACCACGGUUUACCACUGUUUACCACUGUUUACCACUGUUUAUCACUGUUUACCACGGUUUACCACUGUUUAUCACUGUUUACCACUGUUUACCACUGUUUAUCACUGUUUACCACUGUUUAUCACUGUUUACCACUGUUUAUCACGGUUUAUCACUGUUUACCACGGUUUACCACUGUUUACCACGGUUUACCACUGUUUAUCACUGUUUACCACUGUUUAUCACUGUUUACCACUGUUUACCACUGUUUACCACGGUUUACCACUGUUUACCACGGUUUACCACUGUUUACCACGGUUUACCACUGUUUACCACUGUUUACCACUGUUUAUCACUGUUUACCACUGUUUAUCACUGUUUACCACGGUUUACCACUGUUUACCACGGUUUACCACUGUUUACCACGGUUUACCACUGUUUACCACUGUUUACCACUGUUUACCACUGUUUACCACUGUUUACCACUGUUUACCACUGUUUACCACUGUUUACCACUGUUUACCACUGUUUACCACUGUUUACCACUGUUUACCACUGUUUACCACUGUUUACCACUGUUUACCACUGUUUACCACUGUUUACCACUGUUUACCACUGUUUACCACUGUUUACCACUGUUUACCACUGUUUACCACUGUUUACCACUGUUUACCACUGUUUACCACUGUUUACCACUGUUUACCACUGUUUACCACUGUUUACCACUGUUUACCACUGUUUACCACUGUUUACCACUGUUUACCACUGUUUACCACUGUUUACCACUGUUUACCACUGUUUACCACGGUUUACCACUGUUUACCACUGUUUACCACGGUUUACCACUGUUUACCACUGUUUACCACGGUUUACCACUGUUUACCAAUGUUUACCACGGUUUACCACGGUUUACCACUGGCCCAUACAUGGUUACAGUGGAUCCUAAGACCACACCCAUGGAUGAGCUCAGACGAAUGGCGAGCUGUGCCUUCGUUCGGUUUGGUAAAGUCAGUAAGAGUUCAAGCAGUGCAUCAGUUAUGGCGUUAG
rnacentral:lncRNA from 1 species